rnacentral:rRNA from 1 species
UCGACGGCAGCACGGGAGCAAUCCUGGUGGCGAGUGGCGAACGGGUGAGUAAUGUAUCGGAACGUACCUUUCAGUGGGGGAUAACGUAGCGAAAGUUACGCUAAUACCGCAUAUUCUGUGAGCAGGAAAGCAGGGGAUCGCAAGACCUUGCGCUGAUUGAGCGGCCGAUAUCAGAUUAGCUAGUUGGUGAGGUAAAGGCUCACCAAGGCGACGAUCUGUAGCGGGUCUGAGAGGAUGAUCCGCCACACUGGAACUGAGACACGGUCCAGACUCCUACGGGAGGCAGCAGUGGGGAAUUUUGGACAAUGGGGGCAACCCUGAUCCAGCCAUGCCGCGUGAGUGAAGAAGGCCUUCGGGUUGUAAAGCUCUUUCAGCCGGGAAGAAAUCACAUGGGUUAAUACCCUGUGUGGAUGACGGUACCGGAAUAAGAAGCACCGGCUAACUACGUGCCAGCAGCCGCGGUAAUACGUAGGGUGCGAGCGUUAAUCGGAAUUACUGGGCGUAAAGCGUGCGCAGGCGGUUUGUUAAGAUAGGCGUGAAAUCCCCGGGCUCAACCUGGGAACUGCGUUUAUGACUGGCAGGCUAGAGUAUGGCAGAGGGGGGUGGAAUUCCACGUGUAGCAGUGAAAUG